rnacentral:rRNA from 1 species
AUGCACGCUGGCGGCGUGCCUCAUCCAUGCAAGUCGCGCGCACGGACGAGAAGCUUGCUUCUCUGAUGCUAGCGGCGGACGGGUGAGUAACACGUGGAUAACCUACCUAUAAGACUGGGAUAACUUCGGGAAACCGGAGCUAAUACCGGAUAAUAUUUUGAACCGCAUGGUUCAAAAGUAAAAGACGGUCUUGUUGUCACUUAUAGAUGGAUCCGCGCUGCAUUAGCUAGUUGGUAAGGUAACGGCUUACCAAGGCAACGAUGCAUAGCCGACCUGAGAGGGUGAUCGGCCACACUGGAACUGAGACACGGUCCAGACUCCUACGGGAGGCAGCAGUAGGGAAUCUUCCGCAAUGGGCGAAAGCCUGACGGAGCAACGCCGCGUGAGUGAUGAAGGUCUUCGGAUCGUAAAACUCUGUUAUUAGGGAAGAACAUAUGUGUAAGUAACUGUGCACAUCUUGACGGUACCUAAUCAGAAAGCCACGGCUAACUACGUG